UACGGGGGGAGCAAGCGUUGUUCGGAUUUACUGGGCGUAAAGGGCGCGUAGGCGGUCGUGACAAGUCACUUGUGAAAUCUCCGGGCUUAACUCGGAACGGUCAAGUGAUACUGUCGGACUAGAGUACAGAAGGGGGCAACUGGAAUUCUCGGUGUAGCGGUGAAAUGCGUAGAGAUCAUGAGGAAGACCAGUGGCGAAGGCGGGUCUCUGGACAGUUCCUGACACUGAGACACGAAGGCCAGGGGAGCAAACGGG
rnacentral:rRNA from 1 species